UACGGGGGGGGCAAGCGUUGUUCGGAAUUACUGGGCGUAAAGGGUGUGUAGGUGGCGCGCUAAGUCGGGUGUGAAAUUUCGGAGCUUAACUCCGAAACUGCAUUCGAUACUGGCGUGCUUGAGGACUGGAGAGGAGACUGGAAUUCAUGGUGUAGCAGUGAAAUGCGUAGAGAUGUGGAGGAACACCAGUGGCGAAGGCGACUCUUUGGCCUGUAACUGACGCUGAGGCGCGAAAGCGUGGGGAGCAAACAGG
rnacentral:rRNA from 1 species